ACAAACAGCAACAAAUGGUCAACAGCCUGUGCCAGCGAGUGGGAAGCUCAAAUACGGCUAAGCAAACAUUUGAGCCACAUUUUUACUUUCAUCUGUUUCUCGCAUUAGUGCCCAUAGGGCCAGUUUACAAUACAGAAGGUGGUACACAUUCAUUUUCAUGGAUUUAUUUUUCAUUUCUCAUCAGUUCAGAACAUUAGCUGGGAAUGGUCUGUGCUUUUGUAAUGCACUUUCCAUGCUUGACCUACUUGCAGAUGAUGUCAUUCUGCCCUUCCAGCCGGAUCAACAGCAUGGAGGGUAAUGGAUUACUGCAAAUAGAUUUUGAGGUUUGCUUUGGAUGAGAAAAUCAAUUGCUUUGGAUGUAGUAGAAGCACAAGGCCCUGAACUCUGCCUGCAUUGGUUGUGUGUGUUUGUGCAGGGGGGACGGCCUAGGCUGGACAAGCCUUUAAAAACUGCUGAGUAAACAGACACCAUUUGUGUUUUUGGGUUUGUAAACAGGCCAAGCAAGAUAACAGAGGUAGGUCCAUCAACUGAGCUUCUACUUCUGUUUGUGUUGAGUGUUUUCUGCUAGCAAAAAUAACUUAUUAAUGUUGCCAUUUAAGGGAUUCUCAUAAAGGUGGUUAAUUAUUGAGAUUAUACUAGUUUUUAAUGGUGUUUGUGUGUGAUUUUAGCUUUUUGUGGUGAUUAAAUAUGCUAAGGUGAUUAAAACAUGAACAUUUUGGUAUUCUGGGGUGUUUGGCUGCUUCACACUAUUAAAACUGCAGGUAGGAAACUGAAAAGUAAAGAUUAAAUGUUAAAGGACAAUGGCAUUUAGCCAAAAGUUCCCCAUUUACCCUAAAAUUUAGUCACUCAGCCUAAACACCCUUGCUUUUUUAGUUAAUUAGCACUAACGUAGCUAUGAGGCUAAAGCAGCUAACCUGAUUAACCAAGCUAAGUUGUGUUAAAUUCCAGUCCAUCAGUAAGCUAGGUUAAUGUUCUGACAAAAUGGCAGCUUUAAAAUGACUGGAACUAAUAUUUUUAGCUGUGACAUACACACUAUUACCACUGUCUAAUGAAAAACCUGUAUUUAUGUUAACUUUCAGUGGAAGUCAAUGAAAAAACAGUUUAUUUCAGGUAAUUUUGGAUCAUUUCUUUUGGUCCAUUCAUCAAGAUAUUUUAAGAAAGUGUAAGGGACCGUUUGUGUGUUCACAAUAUCUAGUAAAUGAAAAAUAUCCAAAAAUGGAGAUUCUUAUGUUUUAUUGGUUAGAGCGUUUACCCCUCUUUUGUUGAAACUAAUUGUCUCUACUGUCGAGGGAAGGCUUUCUACUGAGUACUGGAACCUUUCUAUGAGGAUUUGAUUGAUUUCAGCAACACAAGAGCAUUACCCUUACGAAAAAAGUAUACUUACAGUUUAUUUUUAAUAAGUAAACAUAAGUAAAGUUGAAGUAUAUUUCCCAAGUAUAUGUAGUAAGUAUAAUAGGAUCAUUGUACUUGUAGUAGAUUUGUAAGUGUACUAGUUCAAUACUACUUGGGACUAAAUUGGCGACAGAGCUAGCCCUUAGCAUGGUUAGCGGCUAAUGCUAAUACUGCUCCAGCCACGGUGCUGGAGAACGAAUAACGUUAACUCUGUACUUCAGCGGAGUGGCUUUACUGCUUCUUAUAAGCUCAUUGGUAAAAUUUCUGCAUAUUACAAGGCGCACUGACGAUUUUUGGGGAAAUUAAAGGGUUUUUAGUGUGCCUUAUAGUACAAAAAAAUAUAACAAUGUUUAGUAUGUCACUGAUAUACACAAAAAAGUAAACUGAAAGCAUACAUGCUUAAUUUUAGUUUAAAAGAAGUAUGCUAAUAGUACACUCGAAUAAACUCAUUUUUUGUAAGGGUAGUGACGUCA
ensembl:lncRNA